AGAAAAAAAAAGUAUCACCAUUGAAAUGACAUGUCCUCUUAAAUAAUACUCCCUCUAUUCGAAAAUAAGUGUCGUGGUUUUAGUUCAAGGAGUAUGUGUUUAGAACACCAUAAGAAUUUUGAUCAAAUAGUGUUCGAUACCACAUAAAAACAAAAGAAUUGUGAGGUCUUUCCUUCCCUUCCCGUGAAGGCGGUUAGGGCGAAAUCUUCCUCCCCUCCAUCUCCGACAGCGAACCCAUUGAUUCGCCUCCUCUCUGUCUAUCAUUCUGGCGGCUGGUGGUGGGUAGGGUAAUCUCAGUGUCUCGGCUCUGGCUUGUAGAUAGGUUAGGGUUUCAGCCUCUGCAGGGACGAAGCUUGGGAGGAUGGUGGCGCUUCAUCUCGAGUCGGUCUUCUGGACUUUGAUCCUCCUUGAUUUUUUCAUCGGGACAGAGUCGACGGAGCUCCAACGUAGAUUCAUGCCGGCUCCUCGAGGCGGCGAGGUUAAGGUUACUUGUCGUGCGUACGUGACGCCUAAAUAUGGUGUCGGGUGCUUUGGAUUGAUUUAAGGGUACGAGGCACUGGUAUGUAGGUGCACGUGUAUGAAGACUUCCCGACUGUCCUUGACAAUGUCACGGCGGUUCUAAAAGGGGAAAAGGGUGCGUCGGCGACUCAUUCUGACAAUGAUAGUGGUCGUUCGGGGGUCCAGGAACCUGAUGCACUGUUUAUUACAUUGAAGGUGCUUCGUACUUCUGGUGAACCUUUAUAAUAGAGCCAUGUCCUUUUUGGAAAAAUAAAAGAAAUAUUUGUGUGGACGGAGAAUUUUCUUUUCACAAUAGAGUGCCAAGCAAAGAAUGUUUUUUUACCAAGGGUUUGAAUCAUGCAAAUAAAUCAAACGACCUACGUAAAAAAAAAAUCUUCCAAAUGCUACAAAAAUCUUAUGAAAUUCCUUUAAAUCAAAUGAAGCCCUUGAAUCGGCAACUUCUCCAUUCCCACGUUUGUGGUCCAUAUUUACUUGGAUCCCUGAUCCAUUGAUCUGACGGUCGCAAAAUCCACACCAGGAGAAGGUGAUGAUACCCCAAGUAUGAAACAUGGGAGCGCAGCCGAUGGUGUUUAAGGUUUUAUAACUACGCUUCCCAGGAAUCCUGGUUCUUUCAUGCCCUCCACAAGAUCACCUCCCACAAGAUUAAGAAGUCCUNNNNNNNNNNNNNNNNNNNNNNNNNNNNNNNNNNNNNNNNNNNNNNNNNNNNNNNNNNNNNNNNNNNNNNNNNNNNNNNNNNNNNNNNNNNNNNNNNNNNNNNNNNNNNNNNNNNNNNNNNNNNNNNNNNNNNNNNNNNNNNNNNNNNNNNNNNNNNNNNNNNNNNNNNNNNNNNNNNNNNNNNNNNNNNNNNNNNNNNNNNNNNNNNNNNNNNNNNNNNNNNNNNNNNNNNNNNNNNNNNNNNNNNNNNNNNNNNNNNNNNNNNNNNNNNNNNNNNNNNNNNNNNNNNNNNNNNNNNNNNNNNNNNNNNNNNNNNNNNNNNNNNNNNNNNNNNNNNNNNNNNNNNNNNNNNNNNNNNNNNNNNNNNNNNNNNNNNNNNNNNNNGCUGUCUGGAGCCGUAUCUUCGUCGCCAACAACUCGUCCAUAUACCAUAUCCGAUCCUGCUGAGUCGGCUGAUCAGUUGGCCUUGCUGCCUUCAUCGCAUUGCACCACGCAAGCUACGUACCAGGCGCCACCUUUCGCGUUCAUUUGGGGAAACCUAGCGUUCCUAGUUCAAAGAUACACUCACAUGGCAGAGGAUUCUCACGGUAGAUUCGUGGACUUGCUAGCUAGCUAGCGAAGCCAGAUGAAUAAUCACCAGCCAAAUCGAUCGGUCGAUCGAACCAUCGACCUCGCUGGAUAUCCGGAUCCGACGCCAACGCCAUGCCUUUUCAUUGCAAGCUUAAUCGAAUGUACACUCCCUAUCUGGCUCGUUAAGUGCAUGGUUGAAUGGGUUCAUACAGAAAUUGUAAGAUCAUUAUUGCCUUUUUUCUUUGAUAGAUAUAAAACAGGCAACAGCAUGUGCUACAUUAUCGUCUGGAUAAUAAAGUCGCUUCUUUUUUAUAAUCCAUCCAUUUUCUUUUAGGUAAUCAACAUUUCACCUUUUUGUUGUCGAACUUUCUGAUCCAUGACAUUGUUCCUUUCCCUUUCCCUUUCCCUCGAUUUCUAAUUGUUCGUAUGUUGGAAGCUUUUAGUAUUUUAGUCAACAAUGUAGAUACACAUCUAUAUCAAGAAUGAUCGAGUGAUGCAUAUCCCAAGUAUCACCAAUAAAUGGCAGAUCUAUUAUUUUUCUGAAGGAAAUCUUUGAUGUUGCAACAACCAAGAUAGGCUCGACUAAUUUUAGCUCUGCAAGGAAGAUCCACCUAUAUAUGCACAACCUGAUUUGGAUCCGUAUCAUGAUCCCAGAGUUCUUGCUGCCCCAACUAGGCAGCUACCACUACUAAAAUCACCAGUUACAUUUGCUCCUAAUAUAGCAGUUCUAUUCUAUGUCUCUCCAACCAUCAAUGGAAAUUUUGAACAAAGAAUUAUUUGCAUAAUUAACGAGCAGUUUUCCAUGUUCCUGCUUUCCAACAAAUUUGAUACCCAGCCUGUGCUUCUGUCUGUUGAUGGCCCAGACAGUACUAGUACUCCUACAUGCUAAGAUAGUAAUUUAGACAGCUCAUAUGGGAAUAUUGCAGCGCUAAUCCUGCCCAGAAUUGUUAAUCAGUGAGAGGAUCGUAGAGAUCUUGUAGUUUAUUCUCAGAGUCCUUCAGUAUAGUACUUUGCAUGAGACUCGAGUACACGGGCGAUUACGGUAUAGUGCGGGCACGUAUGGAGAUCCUACUUUGCGGGAAGAAAUCUGAAAAAUAUUUCACGCACGGCCGCUAGCUGCAGACUGAAGGCCAUCUGCAUAAUUCAAUACUAACUCAAUGAAUGCUGCACUAAGUCAGGGUUACCUGUUUCUUGUUUAUCACUAUGACCUGUUUUGCAACUAUUGGGGCUUUACUUUGAUUCAUCAGCCAACAAAGACAGCCAAUACUGGUACUAUUUUACUUGCAGGAAUGGUAAACUAUUGGAUACAUAAUGUAUGUUGUGGAGGAGUCAUCAAGUGCUAAUUAAGUGCCGAUUAACCAUGUUCAGUAGUGCUACCAAUUAAACAAACAUGUGAACAAUCCUGAUGCUGAUCUCUCGGCCAGGUUCCAUAAUAUUAGAACCAACAAUGGUGAAAAAGAUAUAUAGUCCGUUAUAUAAGUACAGUAGCUUUUAUUUUGACUAGCAAAUAUUUAGUUUGCAUCUCUUUCAGUUUACAGACAAGCAUGCACAACUAUUCCAAGGUCGGAUCUACGUGCUCGCUGUCUGGUUGUCUGUAUCCAUCCAAAGCAAGGAGCUUCUUCAAGGUCGUAAGUUCUUUCUGUUGGCUUCCCUUUGAAGCUGAUCCAUGAAGCUUUUGGAGAAAAGCUCAUCAACCUAGCUGGCUGGCUACACUAUAAAUAUAUGUGACAAACCAUAUAGCCCAUGAGGUGAAAAGGAGGGGCCCUCUUGGCAAACCACAUGUGUGCCUAAACCAUCACAAUCCCACAAUAAUUAACAUCCCAUCAAUUUGUUACCCUAACCCAUCAUGCAUCAGCUAGAUUUUAAAACCUCCAAGCAGCAUGCAUAAUUGGCACUUUUCUGUUGUACCCCCAAUGGCAGCCAGCAAUCUAAAACUGGCCAACUUGGCAACUGACCAAUGCAUGAUGGUUGCCACAUCAGGUGUAACCCAACAGCAGUAUUCAAAGCCUAUCCCUGCAUAAUCUAGCCUGAAUUAUCUUGGUUAAAUGAUGGUGCAUUAGCAUGGCUGUUGGUCAAGAUUCCUCAUGCCAAUCCAAGAGAUCGCGGCCGAUCUCGAAGAUCGCCGAGUAUCGAUUAGAAAACCUAGGGACCAUGUGGUACCACCCUUUUGUUAACAGCUGCAACUGGAUCGAGCAAUUUGUUGGGUUAUCAAGGGGCGGUUGAUGCGCUCUGUAGCCAUACAAGUGGCUUUGCUGCAAGGUGCAGCAAGCAAGCUAGCUAACACGUUGGGUGCAGCAGUCUUGCAGCGUACUUCGGCGUACAUGGUUAAGCGAGUGCACGCAUUCCUAUAUCUAUAUCAUGAGGAAAUUGUCGCCAGAUCCAGGCCGGGGGAUCGGUAGAAAGCUGUACUAUAAAAUUGUCAAAAUGGAAAAUUUAUCUGUAAUUAUCUUCUCUUGUCAGGGCAACUAGAUACUUUGCAUGUUCAGCUUGCCAAGCUGAUUUGUCAGGUGAUAUGGUAUACUAAUUAAUUGUCAGGACUGGUGCUACAAUUUGUGUACCAAGUUGCGACAUUGUAUCACCAUGUUGGUCCUAGUGGGCACCAUGAUCAACACCUCAUUAUGAUCAGGUAGCACAUCUGGGGUUUAGUGAGUGAGGUCGAUCUGUGGAUGGCAAGUGGGGGCGGUGGCGCCAGAGGUGGCGGCGGCUCUCGCGCUGAUCCAGCAUGUACACAAGCAUUGCUCCAUGUGCUAAAAGGGGAAUCAAUCGGUCGAGACCCAAGUGCUUAGCACUCCUGAAUCCAUGAAAAGCCUAGCUGCCCUAGCAAGUUGUUUGGGGGUACAAGUAAAGCCUGGCUGCCCUAGCAAGUUGUUUGGGAGUACAAGUGCUAUUUAACUAGAAAACCCCUUUCCCCCCAAAAAAAAUUUAACUAGAAAACCACUCUCUCACUUUUUUAGCUGCAAUGCGAUGGAAAAUGUAAUGCUGGUACUCGCUAAAGAGGCUGGCUUCUCUGUCAGCUAGGCCUCGUGCUGAAAUUUUGUCCCCUGUUUCUACAUAAAUUUUACUUGGUGUCAGUUCAAUGAUGCAAAUUUUUGACUUUUUGAAAAGUAGAUAUCAAUGCAUAUGCGUAGAACGGGCGUGCAUCUACCAUGCAUAUGCGUAGACGUUGGAGCAUGCAGUCAACUUGGAGAAUGAGCGACACACAAGCUACCCUACGCGGCCGCCAAGGGAUACGGUGGCUUCAGCCCUCGGCAAGAGGGAGGUUGGCACCCCGUACGUGCACAGCCCAAUUAAUCCACAUUAUCUACGUACAGCAGGGACAAGGCUGAAGCAGGGAGACGCUGAUCCCUCGACCACUGUCUGAUUUUAUUCGAUUUGGUGGUGACGAUUUUGUAUCUAGAGGAUCGACUGCGUUCAGUUCAAUGACGGGGUUGCCAAAGAAAGAAAGAAAAACCCCGUUCGACGACGGGAACAAGGAGAUCGAAUUAUAUCAGUGUCAGUGAGACAGGCAGCCGACACCUGACGACAAAGAAAAUCGCCAAAGUCCAAGAACAGAGGGAAGUAUAGAAUCUUAAUUACCCUUUGCAGCUUUCUUAUAACACUCUUAAGGCCGUGCAGCACACACGGCAGUGCAACUAGUGAUAUUUUUUACUCUUAUCGCCAGACUACAGAUUUGCCUUCCGGAGUUCAGAUUUACCUGCACAGAUAGAAAGAGACCGUGCAAGCACAGCAAGCAGGAUACCCUGACUGAGACACAUGACACGAGUCACCUCGUUAUAUUCUGCUGGCAUGAAAGCACGCGUUGAUCUUUCCCUUCUUUGUAUUUAGGGAAACAGCAAUUACACCCGCAAAAAAAAAAAAAAGGAAACGACCAUUACAACGUAGACGGACGCACGCACAUACUCACACCAUCACACGCACUCACACAACACACCCAAGAUCAGAUCGAAGUUACGGAGCUUGAGGAUUGAUUUAGUCAUCACCGACGGAAAAAAUUGGCUUUUACCAAAAGAAUAAUCCGUAUUAACGAGACAUCACAGCAGAGGUCUGGCAUGUGGUGGGCUGAAGGUACCACCAACUCCCCUAUUCAUCCGACCACUGCUUGGUUCUCAACACACAGCGAUCUCGAUCAUACUAUAUACUACUCCCUUUGUUUCUAAAUAUAAGUCUUUGUAGAGAUUUUACCAUGAACUACAUACGGAACAAAAUGAGUGAAUCUACACUCUAAAAUGCGUCUAUAUACAUCCGUAUGUGGUUCAUAGUAGAAUCUCUACAAAGACUUAUACUUCCUCUGUAUCGAAAUACAUAUCGCUAGAGUAGCAGUCAGCUACUCUAACAACAUGUAUUUCGAUAUAGAGAAAGUAUUUAAGAACGGAGAGAGUAACAAAUAAUCGUAACGCUUGAUUCAUACAGUGGUGGUACUGUAAGCCAUGCACGUUUUCACCAACCUAGAGGCAGAGAGGGAGGGGCCCAAGCUCCCAUGCCACCGCCCGCGUGCGCCGUCAUGCCGCUGUCGGGCCCGGGGACGCGGCACCCCGUGCAUCCACACGCACGCACGCACUGUGCCACAGUGCCACUCAACUCUCACGGAGCUCGAAGGUCAGAUUCGGACUCACGGCCCCGCUCGCCGUCCACGUCCAGUCCAGAGGGGAAGUAUCCACGGGCGGUGCAUGCUCGGAUCUCAGUUACUACAGCAGGGGCAGAAACACAUCAAGAUCAUGCUGCAUCGUCGUGCGUUCGUCGAUCCCGAUCGACCCCCGGCCGAAACGCAGACGCCGGCCGUCCGUCCCGGUCGGUCCCUGCAUGGCGCUAUCUCCGGGCGACUGGACCAGGGAUAACAGGGCGGUGUCGGCAUCGAUCGGCGGUCCAUGCAGCAGGAAACAUGGACCCGAUUGCUCGAUCUAGCCAUUCGAGCGAGACAUGUCGGGCUCGACGGCCGGCCGGUGAGCCGGUGACACGCCCGCCGGAGCGCGGACGUGACAGGCGGGUCGCUGUGCUCGUACGAACGGCGGCCGGCCGGGGACGACGGCGGCGGCAGGACCCUCCUAGCCUUGCCUGAUCGCGAUCGAGAUGGUUGGUCGUCUGCCCGAUUUCUCACUCGCACACGUCACGCACGCAUGGCCUCCCGACUGUGGUGUGGUGUGCAUGGAUUAGUCGGUGUUGAAUCGACACUGUAGGCGACUAACGCUAGCUUGGAUCACCGAGAAUGGAAAACGGAAAACAGGACACCUGAGAGUGAUGGGUGGCGCAUGGCGGUGUCCCCUACUCCCUCAUGGGCAACAAAUGAAGAAACCAUUGGUUGGGACCUAGCGAUGCAAACGAGUGAUUCAUCUUGGUUGGCAUUCAAGUACAGUAGUAUGACAGAUCCGUUUGCCUAACAAGUUUUCCUUUCACAUAUUUUUUUUCCUUGAUCCGUUUGACAAAUGUUUUCUUCUGCCAAACACAUACAUGCGUGAACACUCAGCCAUGAGACACCGAGCCAGCAAAUUUUGAGACUGACAAAGUCACCAUAUGCGUCUUCCACUGAAAGAGCACCGCCAAAAAGCCUGGAAUAAAUUCAGCAAAAUGCAAACAUCUGUGCCAAGUCUAGAACGAGAACCUGGGUGGGGCACGACUCCACCCACCCACUUGGAAACAGCUCCGUUCACUUAGAAAGAGUUAUUUACCCAAAACCAUUACGCUUGAGGCUAGGGUAACAACUUAGUAUCAGAUUCUAGCCAGGGCACAAAAAACCAUUGAAAUUGCGCCUAACCUGUAACACAGAGCACUGGUUGUCUGAUAAGCUCAGGCAAACAGAAAAACUAACAAGUUGGGCCCACUUAUCGGGCUGACGUGGCAAGGACUAAAUGCAAAAAAUAGAUUAACCAAUUAUGGUGGCAAAUGAGCUGGCAGAGGAGGCAUGGGCCCCACGUGUCAUCCACCCAUCUCCUUCUUCCUCCUCCCAUCUCUCUCUCUCCCCCCGACGCCACCUCCUGGGCUCUGUCGUACGGGCGCACCGCCGGUGGCAGGGUGCUGGCCGCAGGCAUGGAGCCCCGGCGCGGACAGGGGAGGACUACACGCAGCAAGAAUCUCGACGACGAGCUCUCUCUGGGCGCCGGCGACCUCGCGUCGUCGCCGCCAUCCCCGCUGGCGCGAGAACCCCCACUGAAGCUCGAAGAAGAGGCGGACGAGCUGCCACCGCUCCCGCACGCCCCCCACCCCGGACGCCACCUCCCGGAGCUCGGGCGCGUCCAUGCGGCCGAGGUCAGCCAUGGCCGACGACAAGGUCAGUGCGAGACAAGCUGCUGCUGGAUCUCGCGGGAGUGGUGCUAGGCGCGUGUAGGUGCGUGCGUGCUCGUGGAGUGAAGCGCGCGUGCAGGUGUGUGCGUGCUCAUGGCGUGUAGGUGCGUGCGUGCUCGUGCUCAGCUGCCAUGCCCAUGGUGGCCAUGGAGCUCUCAUCUCGCAGGGGCACUAAGAGCUCGGGUGUCCNNNNNNNNNNNNNNNNNNNNNNNNNNNNNNNNNNNNNNNNNNNNNNNNNNNNNNNNNNNNNNNNNNNNNNNNNNNNNNNNNNNNNNNNNNNNNNNNNNNNNNNNNNNNNNNNNNNNNNNNNNNNNNNNNNNNNNNNNNNNNNNNNNNNNNNNNNNNNNNNNNNNNNNNNNNNNNNNNNNNNNNNNNNNNNNNNNNNNNNNNNNNNNNNNNNNNNNNNNNNNNNNNNNNNNNNNNNNNNNNNNNNNNNNNNNNNNNNNNNNNNNNNNNNNNNNNNNNNNNNNNNNNNNNNNNNNNNNNNNNNNNNNNNNNNNNNNNNNNNNUGCUCGUCGGUGUGGCCAUAGUCGCCGGAGUCCGGCCGCCCACAAGCUGCUCGAUGUAAUGUCGCAUAGAAAAAAAGGGAUGAAGAUGAUCAUGUAGUCACAGACAGGCGGGGUCCGUGUCUCAUUUGCCACCUCAGCUGGUCAAAGCUUGUUUGGUGCUUGGUCUUUGCCACAUCAGCUCUGACAGGUGGGCCCUACCUGUCGGUUUUGCUGUUUUUGCGACUAAAUCCGAGCGUCAGUACUUAGCGUUACGCAUUAGGCGCAUUUCCGGUGGUUUUUUAUGUCCUGCCUUCAAUGUGGUACUAAGUUGUUGCCCCAGCCCUAAAUGUGAUGGUUUUAGAUAAAUAACUCACUUAGAAAUGCAGGGGGAACACUAGCAGGUUUCAAGCAUGAUUUGUGCUGUAUUCGUCUCUGGAUCGCAGUGGCGUACGUACGUGAACGUGGCAAUUUGCGCCAGUUGAGUGAGACAUGAAGCAUCGCUAGGACACAAGUUAUAUCGAAAUUGAUGUGCACACGACAUGCAAUGCCCGAUGUGCAGCCGACACAAGCUCUACACCGUCAGAUUGCCUAGUAUCAAAUUUACAAACGGCCUGAUGAGACACAUCGGCUGUGUAUCGUCUGGAACCGUCGGCUGUAUAGCAACGCUCAAGUUAUAUAGAAACAGAUAUCGCCCGUCCAGUUGGGACUGUUGGAGGAAGGUCCCGUGCAUGCAGCCAAAGGCAAAGGAAGUCGCUUCACGUCUGAUGUGGCUGGCUCACCAUUUGGCAUGUACUCCUACAUUAUUUUAUUUUGUGAAGAAAGCUACCGGUGCAGUGCACGGCGGAUCAUAUCCUGAUUCCCAAGUGGAGCUCAGGGAUCGCUGUGCAUCGACUGCUCUGUCUGAAACAGCAGAUUUGAUUUAACUGUGGGGAGCUGCACUGCACAUAUCCAAGAAAACGCCAGAGGGACAAACCAUAACUGUACAUAUACAAAAUGCACAGCUCAAAAAAUGCCCCCACCCUUCGAGCCAAGCACUUUGCCCUUUGCGGUGCAUUCUUUUGCAGUCACUUUUUUGGCUUGAACAAAAUAUAAAUUGGCAGGAAUAUUAAGUACUCCCUCUGUUCGCUUUUAUAAGGCCCUGAAUACAUUUCAGACAAUGUGCAAAUCAGUCUAUUUUCAAUUGUCUGAAAUGAAUCACAAAAGUGAACAGAGGGAGUAACUUUCACUGUCAUCAUCUUCCUUUCAUUUCAAAUACAACUCAUUGUUCCCCGCACAAAUGUUUUUUUACAAAUCUUCGUUGGUAAGAGCCUAUACAAAAAUGGAAGUCAAACCACCAGAAGCUAGCGGGCACAUCCACGGUUAAAUUCCAAAUUAUCUAGGAAUAUUCUGCAUCUAUACUAAACACCUAUUGUUCGACAAUUUGCUAACUUGUAUAUUAUCCAAUUUGUAUAAAUAUUUAAGCUACCUAGCUAGAUAGAUGCUUUGGAAAUUCGCAAAAAAAAAAAGAUAGAUGCUUUGGAAGAUAGGCAACUUGUGGGAGGGCGGCGGUUGGUCAAAAGUCAAAGCACACGGACGCAUAGAACGCGAAUUGGGCGACUUGAAAGACAAACAAAACAAGAAGAAGAAGAAAAACUCUUCACAGAUAGAUAUGGGAUGCACACACGAGCUCAUUUUCAUUAUGGCACAUGGCGAGUAAAUAAACAGGCGAUAACCACUAGUUUUUUAUGCGGCACAUGCAUAUGAUUGGUUAGCUAAGCAACGCCAAUCAGCGUUGCUUGCUGAGGAUGGAAAGGCGCCGGCUCAUAAGAUUUGAUGUAAACAAUUUAGCAAAUUAGCGCCGCGACAAAAGGCGCGAAAGCCUCGACGAUAUCUAGCUGGAUUCCGCGCUCGAGAAGAAUGCCAAGUCAUCGCCGUGAAAUGGACAGCAAUCACAUCAGAAAUUAGGUUACAGCGGGGUCAAGACAAGUGGCUUAGCUGGAUGAGGAGUUGUGGGCAGCAGCAAUGUGAUGAACGUGGAAGAAUGAGUUGAUUACGGGGUUAAAUCAAGCGGAAUUGGUCAGAAAGAGAGUUGGGAUGCGUAUAGAAUUGUUCUCCUCCUGAUGUUUGGGCGUGUGUUGUUUAUGUCUCAUGCCAAUAAUUCCUUCCACUCGUUCUGUACAGUGAGAUGACAGGACGAUUGGCAUGUUUUUGCCAAUUAAGAUGGGUUUAAAACUAGGAAUACAGCUGAAUUUCAUUUUACAGUUCAAGAUGUUUGUGUUGCUGCAUCAUGAAGGACAGCUUUUACUAAAGGACAACGAAAACCUCAUCUAAUUAUCUGAAAAUGGUCCGUGCCCUAUCGUCUUCCUCUACUGGACCAUCCAAAUCGUUUGAUGCAAGACAAAGGCCAGUUUAUCUCAAAGAAAGAAAAAAGGAAAAGGCCAGUUGCAAGAUCAUUGCAAUCUUCGAUUAUAUGUGCUUGGUGAGGGUAGAUUUUUAUCAAGGUAAAUUAAUUUCAGUCUACAGUUAAAAUGUUUAUAUGGAUGCAUCACAAAGGACAGUUUUUAUUAAGGAAAAACGACAAUGUUAUCUAGUUAUCUGAAAGCGGCCCAUGCUCUAGCUUCCUCUAGGUCUAUGGACCACCUAACUUCUUGCUGUCAAACCAAAAGUUAGUUGCAACUUGCAACAACAUUGACACCAUCUCUCCUUUUUGUGUGUGGAGAAAACAUUGCCAUCAUCUAGAAGACGAUUCAGCAGAUUCACUGGCUAGUUUUCUGCUAAGCCCAAGUCAGCCUAGUGAACUAUUCAACAUGAAAGCUCACUCAUUUUCUCAGCCCAACAGGGUAUGAACUCUGCUGAACUCCAAUGAAGAAGCUAUAUCCAGGAUGGAUGGUGGCAUGAUGCCCACAAAGAAAAAGGUUCCCAUGAUGAAAUGGCAACCCAACUUCACAUUUCAGGAUGGCUAACAUCUAAGGACUCGAAUGAACUUUUCAAGCAUUGUUUUUUUCAGUUAAACAAAGUUUAAGCAUUGCCUCUGUCCAGCCUUCCAUACAACCAUCCCAUUAACGGCUCUCUGGAACAGUUUAAUUUCACUACAAAUCGCACAGCAGCGAAGGCAACACAAGACGAAAAUACACAGCCCAGGAGCAUCGCAUUCUCCACUGCAGCAAUCUAUAAUUACUCAGGGAGCCAAGUAGCUUACCUGGCUACCAUCAUCAGUCAGGUCACAUGACAACCAAGAAAAUAAGCUGGCUUACGCCUCUCGUUGAUCUCCGUCCUUUUGAACCCAGACUUUCACCGUCUUGUCGUUGUCAAGAGCUCCUGAUGCAAUCAUGUUCUCCUUAGGGUGGCAUGACACAGCAAUGACUGUGUCGCUAUGCCCUUCCAGUUUCUGCACGAUCUUCCUUGACUGAAGAUCCCACAUGUAGACACACUUGUCUUCCGAGCCACUCACAAUGUACUUGCCGUUGGUAAUAGAAAAUGCUGCCGGAAUGCAGUAUUUUGUGUUCACAUGGCCAGUAUACGUCUUCAAAAACUUCCCAGCUGAAAAAUUCCAGAGCCUCUGCAUGAAAUGAACAAUAUGGGAGCCGUUAUCCUGUGAUAAGUUCAUCAAGGUAGGUUGCUAGAUACUCACUAAAACAAGACCAUGAUGUUUUUUUUUUGACAGAUGCCACUACAAACAUACUCCAUCUGUACCAAAAUAUAAGACGUUUUUGCAGUUUAAAUUGAAAUGCAAAAAUAUCUUAUAUUUUGGUACAGAGGUAGUAGGUGUUAUUGUAAUAUGUCUAAUAAUCCACCCAAAAAACAUCAAAGCUAUGACUUGGCAAUGAAGUAAAAUCAUAAGCUAUCUGAAAUUAUCCCAAAUCCCAAUAUAUGCAUGGAGUGGUCCACAAGCAUGAUAAGGAGCAGGGCAAAAUUAUCUGGGAACAUACACCAGACAUGGCAAUGCCUACGUUAAAAGAACACCAGUGUGUAAAACAGCUAGAGCAUUGUAUAGUACUUUUAAGGCAUUGUAUAGUACUUUUAAGGAUAUGGAACUACUAGAAGAGGACCACGAUAAUCACAAUGCUGACAAAUAUAAUCGAUUGCAGCACAGAAAAUGGUCUUUUUUAAAUCAGGGAUGGUGGCAUGGGUCAAGGCACUCUCUCCUGGGUCUGAUUCAUAUGACAUUCCGCUGCGUUAGACAGUUAAUGAUUGAUGCAGCUCUAACGAUGUGCUUUGCACAACACCUUCACCCUUAAGAAUCUUAUAAUGUAAAUGAAUAUUAACAGACAACAGCUUCUUUUAGUUUCUUUCCAUCCUGUUGGUGAAAAACAUGGUUUAUGAUCUCCAUGCUGUAAUGCUGGUUGGCCAGCUCAGCUUUAUAAAGAACUGCUUGCAAGAAUUGUACUUAUCUAAGAAGCGCAGAAACUAUUGAACAGUCAGGACUGCCACCAGAAAUUUCGGCGCCGCUACAUAUGACUGAAGGGCAUAGCAUGAUAGAAGUCAUUUAUCAACUCAAGGUAUUAGGCAUAAAUGAACCCUAAAAGAAAUUUACUUCCACACGGAGCACCCUCACAACCCAAACAUGAACAGCAGCUCUCCUGCUGUCUUUCAAAAACAACCCAAACAUGAGGAACUGCUCCCGACAAUCUCACUCAAGAUCACUCAAGACCUUCCAACUGUGGUCAAACACUAGGGAUAGUUNNNNNNNNNNNNNNNNNNNNNNNNNNNNNNNNNNNNNNNNNNNNNNNNNNNNNNNNNNNNNNNNNNNNNNNNNNNNNNNNNNNNNNNNNNNNNNNNNNNNNNNNNNNNNNNNNNNNNNNNNNNNNNNNNNNNNNNNNNNNNNNNNNNNNNNNNNNNNNNNNNNNNNNNNNNNNNNNNNNNNNNNNNNNNNNNNNNNNNNNNNNNNNNNNNNNNNNNNNNNNNNNNNNNNNNNNNNNNNNNNNNNNNNNNNNNNNNNNNNNNNNNNNNNNNNNNNNNNNNNNNNNNNNNNNNNNNNNNNNNNNNNNNACCGCCACUUUAUUUUCUGUUUUUCUGCUGGGGUCAGGUCUCGCCUAGCGGACUUUAAACCAGCACUUCAUUUUCUGUUUUUCUGCUGGAGUCAGGCCUUGCUUAGUGGACUUUAAAACUUAUAAGCAAAAUGCAAUGAUACAAGAAAAUAUUGAACUUUAAUGUUAGAAAUAACUAUACAUCAGAAAAUGAUACGUCAAAAUGACAAAAAAAUUCAAAUUCACAGCAGCUAUAAAAUGGCAACCUGGCUGGGAAGAAAGCAUUGGAAUUAGUUGGAUAGUGGAAGUACCUACAAAACUUUGUGAAUUUGGUAACAAUAGCAAUUAGCAAGCAAUCAUUUCGAAUGUGCAAUUACUACCCACUGAAAAAAAAGUGUUACUAUCAGAAAGAGUCAGGGUAACAUGUAUCAACCAAACCUGCCAUGCCGGUGAACCCGGGUUAAAUAACAUACAGGGUACGUUUGGAUUUUGGAAGGGAUAAAAUAAAUUAAAUCCCUACUACCUCACAUCAUUUUCCCAUUUUGACCUGUGUAUGCAGGUCCCAUUGCCGAGAAUGGAAAAUAUCGAAGAACCAACAAAUUGCUAAGCAGUGGACUGAACCCACAACUCGACACCCCCAAACUCUCAUUUGUUUUCUUCCACUGCGGUAGUUGUGUGCCUAUGGCUAUCCUACAGUUGCUGAAGCAUUUUCUUUACUAAAAGAACAAGUUUGGGAGAUUUGGGUUUCUUAAAAAAAUGUCUUUUGGAAAUCUUAGCAAACAAGGGCAGGCCUAGUGCAGUGGUAGAGUCUCUCCACUUGUGGCCUGGAAGUCCUGGGUUCGAACCAACCUCCUUGCAAAAUAUUAUGGAAGGGCAAGGCUGUCUAGAAAUUCCCUUCCGCAGACCCCACAUUGUGCCGGAGCUUUCAGCACUGGGUAAACCCUUUUUUUCGAAAUCUUAGCAAGUUCUAAUUUAUCUUCAAAACAAGAAAAAUUUCACAGGAUAGAACAAGGUACAUUUAUUGCUCUAUUAAUGUCCAUCACAUAUUCUAUCACGAAGUUUUAAAAUUCACGGCAGCUAUAUAAUGGCAACAUGGCUGGGAAGGAAGCAUUGGAAUUAGCUGGAUAGUGAAAGUCCCUAAAUAACUUCGUGAAUUUGAUAUCAAUAGCAAUUAGCAAGCAAACAUUUCGAAUGUGCAACUACUACCUACCUAAAACAAGUGUUACUAUCAGAAAUAAUCAGGGUAACAUAUCAAACCUGCCAUACAGGUGGACUCUGAUUAAGUGACAUACAGAGUCCAUUUGGAUUUUGAGAGGGAUAAAUAAAUUAAAUCCUACUACUACCUAACACCCUUUUCCCAUUUUGACCUGUGGUAUGCAGGUCCCAUUGCCGAGAAUGGAAAAUAUCGAAGAACCAACAAAUUGCUAAACAGUGGAUCAAACCCACAAUCCGACACCCCCAAACACUCAUUUGUUUUCUUGCACUGCGGUAGUUGUGUGCCUAUGGCUAUCCUGCAGUUGCUGAAGCGUUUAUCUUUACCAAGAAAACAAGUUUGAGAGAUUUGGGUUUCUUAAAAAAAUGCUUUUCGGAAAUCUUAGCAGGGUCCAGUUUAUUUUCAAAACAAGGAAAUUUUUGCAGGAUAGGACAACGUACAGAUAUUGCUCUAUUAUUAAUGUCCAUCUCAUGUAGGCUUUGCCACUUACAUAUCCACCCCCACCCCCUCCCCCUGCCUAAAAAUAAAAUUCCAGCCCACCCUACACUCAUGGCAAGGGUUUAACAUAACCCCUAAUAUAACAAUUCCCAAACAAUCUUUCUCUUGUCCUUCAAUGUAUGCAGUCACAGCACUACAAGAGAACAGAAGCACCUAACUAGUAUUGUGACCAGUGUUUAUAAGGUGUCCUGCCUUGGACGCUUAGGCGGCAAGGCGGCGCCCUGCCCGGUUAGGCGUUUAGGCGUCAGGGCGGUUGGUGUUUGCCUUAGGUCACCUUACCGCCUUAUAAACAAUGGUUGUGACCUUCAACUCAGCUGUGACUACAGCGAUGUCACAAAAAUUGACACUGCAGGCUACAGUCACUGUGCAAUGUGAUAUCAAAGAAAGUGCAAAUCUACGCCCAGCACCAUGUCACAAUGAUUGAAGCAUCUACAAUACUUACCUCUAGGGGAUUGUGAUCACAUCAACUGUGGAAGGAGAUGAUGAACAAAAAAGGAUUAGUUAACCAACGUAUCUUUUUUUGGCGAACUACCAAAGUAUAUUGAAGCCCGAAAAAAAUAUCAAUAGCUUCUUAUGCUAAAAUGGAAAAGACAGUUGGCUACGUGCAAUUCCACACAUUUAAUUACUCCCUCCGUCCCAUAAUAUAAGAAUGUUUUUGACACUAGUGUAAUGUUAAAAACCUUCUUAUAUUUUGGGACAGAGGGAGUACUUCUCAAGAAUCAUACGACUAUACCAGGCAGUUGCAACAAGUAAUUCGGGAUGGAGGGAGUAUUACCCCUCAUCUGUAUAAUCCCAAGAUUGCAAACACUACAAAAUGAUGCAGUUUGUAGAAAUUAUUAACAAGCCAUGCUUUGCUUUUUUCGAUAUUCUAGAGCAUAGGAAGAAUGGUAGCACUAACUCCCAACAUAAUCACAAAAUUUCCAACUCUACUUAGCAUAGUGCAGACCGAACAAUAUGCAGAUCACUCACUCAAUCUUCUCCAUUGCAAAAUCACAUAUUACUGCAAGUUCAAGUUCACGUCAUGCUGUGAAGUACAGAAAUAGUAUUACGGCGGGUCUAAUACCUCCAACCCAAAGAGUACCUUGUUUGGUGGCACCUCACUGGGACUCCCAAUUUGCAUACUCCCAAGGCUAGACUUAAUGGAACUGAUAUAACUUUAAGGCAGAUCAUCAGGCUAUGGCUGAGAUUAACUGAGCUUGCAAGCCUCAUUAAAAGGGGAGCUUAAAAAAAGGGCAGCCCGGUGCACAUAGCUCCCUCUUGCGCAGGGUCCGGGGAAAGGUCCAACCACUUUGGGUCUUUUGUAUGCAGCCAUUUCCUACAUUUCUGCAAGAGGCUGUUUCCAGGACUCGAACCCGUGACCUCAUGGUCACAAGGCAACAGCAAUGUGCCAAGGCAUUAAAAGGGGAACUUAACAUGUAAAAAAUUAACUCCGCGAAGCAGCACCGACAUAAGUCCCCAAUUUAUGGAGUGUGCUCUGGACUAAGUGCCUGCAUCAGCCCUAUUAACAACCUCAAAGCCUUAAUCCCCUCCUCGUUUCCUUGUGGCACUCUGUCCCUUGUGCCCCCAAAAAUGUACUUGUAGUGUUCCAUUGCUAUUGCAACUACUAAUGUUCUUCCUAGCUAAGAAAUGUCAACUACUGAUGUUUAACCUAGCUAUGAGAACAAUCAAACAUUCAAUAACAACAUAAUUGCAAUUUCACAUAUGCUGCGAGCUGGAAUGUUCUCUACAAUAAGACUAUGAGGAGAGAUUCUGAAUAACUUACCAGGGUGCUAUCAAGGGUGGAUGCAAGCACGAACUUGCCAUUGGGGGAGAACUUGGAGUAGGACACGGGCGGACUCUCGUCAUCGAUGAGGGUCUUGACGCAGUGCCCGGUGGCUGCGUCCCAGAUGCGGCAGAGCCCGUCGUAGCUUCCCGACACGAUCAUGGCCCCGUCCCGGUCGAAAUCGACGGCGGUGACGGGCUCGGAGUGGGCGGGCAGCACGCGGAGGCUCCGGCCAGACCUGACCUCCCAGACGCGCACCGUCUCGUCGAAGGACCCCGACGCGAGCACGUUGCCGUGGGGGCUGAAGGCGACGCAGAAGGCGUAGUUGGUGUGGCCGGCCAGGGUCUUGACGAGGCGGGCGCCGCCGCCGGCGCCCAGGUCCCAGAUGCGGACGGUGCGGUCGUCGGAGGCGGAGGCGAGGAGGCGGCCGUCGGGGGAGAAGGAGAGAUCGGAGACGCCCUCCUCGUGGCCCUCGAGCUCGGCGACGAGGGAGAGGUCCGCCGAGGACCAGACGCGGAGGAGCUUGUCGGCGGAGGCGGAGGCGAGGAGGCGGCCGUCGGGGGAGAACUUGACGGCGGAGACGGCGCGGCGGUGGCCGGCGAGGGUCGCGCGGAGGGCGUACCCCGGGGAGGCCGGGGUCUCGUCUGCAUCCGGCGCCGCCAUUGCCGCGAACCAGAAAGAAAAAGGGUUUGGGGUUUUGUAAUUCCUCCCCUUUGGCGACGCUGCGGCGCGGUGCGGUGGUCUGUUGAGUUGGGGAACCACGGCGAGGGACGCGUGCCGAAGCUCCGGAGUUUCGGUGGGCUUUAGACGGCUAUGGCGGUAUGGACUGGGCUUCAGAUAUCUGCUGGCGACUUUAGACGGCCCAAUUCAUUUGUUUUACCAACUGCACAGCAGAGCAUACUUUGAUACUACUAUGUACAUAUACAUGCAGAGCUUUUUCCCCUCUCGCUAGGGUUCCUCUCUUGGUGGGGACGACCGGCGUAGAGAUCACGUUUCCCUGACCUUGAUCCUCCAUUUCCUCAACUGCUUGGACUGACUAAGGGGCGAUCCUGGAUCGCGUUCCGGUCUUGGCGUUGAGUUUCUAGAGAUCAAUGGAGACUAGGGUUUGGGUGGCCCGUGGAAUUAUUAUUAUUAUUAUCGAUCCGUGUGGCUUAGGGAAAUCUGAUCAGAUCGAGCUAGAGGCAAUGAUGAAGGAAUUGGCGCUUCGGGAGGAGGACCUGGAUGACGUCGUCUUCGAGCAGGAGGAAGCGCCACCGCCUGAGGCAACAUGAUGGAUAGCAGUAGUGCGGGUGAAUGUGGAUAAACUCUAUGUUGGAACUAUCGUGGAUUUGGCAAAAAGCUAUGACAGUCAAAGAGGUUCUAGACCUCGUUAAUAAAUUUGCCCCUUUAGUGUUGUGCCUCUGGAAACUCAGUUAUGGAAAACCCAAAUAGAAAACUUGCAAGAUCUUUUGGUUAUGAUAAUUGUUAUGCUCUCUCAACUGAUUAGGCAAUUCAUGAAGAUGUUUUCUAGGGCCUUCUAUUCGUAUAUUCUUUUAUUGGUAGCUUCCUGGCCGACUUGGAGAUCAUCUCAUCACAUGCCCAGGACCCAGUGGGAGCUCACUAGACUCGACCUAUUUGUCGCAAAUGGAUCCUCCACCCUAGCACAUGAUGAAAAUAAAAUGUUGAUGCAGUUGUUUCUAGGUCAAAGAACCGAGGGGUGGUGGCCCUAUCUGUUGCACUUUUGGCGCAUAUCAGUGGCCUUCGAUGGUUGCUUGUCCAAGUAUUUCUGACCCAACUACCUUCAAAGCCCUGGUGUGUAGAGAAGCUCUUGCCCUCGCAGCAGACUUGCGGCUGCAACACUACAUCAUUGCAUAUGAUUGUUAAGAAGUGGUCAGCCCAUCAACAACGGAUUCCAACCUAGCUACCUUACCGUCCUCAUGGAGAUCAAUCAACAUACGAGAGACUUUCAUGAAGUUUGUUUUACACAUGAAGAUCGGACGUCAAAUAUGCAUGCUCAUGAUCUAGCUCACAACUAUCUUUAUGUUAUAUGGGCACCAUUUGUGGCUCUUGAACUCCCUAGACAUUGCUAUUGUACCCCCAUUCCAUUGAAUAGUAAAGAGAGCUAGAUUUUCCCUCAAGAAAAAAACUAGUUUGACCUACUAAAAAAGAAAUUUCUGUACCGGUUGAUUCUAAAAGUAAGAUUGAUCCCUUAAAAAAAUUGAUACCAAUUUGGGGCAGUAACUUAUCGAAGACGUCUCGACUCAAAAAGGGGAAAAAUAAGAAAUAAGAAAAACUUAUCGUCGUUAUCAGGGUCUUCCACAAUCAUCUACGUCGGUUCCCCUCAUAUCAUGUGGCCUCCCGUCAUAUCUUCGACGAUCAGGGUCUUCCUUUCAUGCGUCCUUCAUCCACAUCCCAUUGUGUUUUCACUGGCGACGUCGAGGAGCUAGCAAUGUUUUAGUUUCUCCUAUUUAGUCCCUUUUAGUGGUUCGGUGAUGAAUCAACAGCUUGACGGCUUGUCUUUUGAGGAUGAAUCAACAUCUUGAUGGCUUGUCUUUUGAGGAGUGUACCCGGUUACGGUACGUUCAAUGGUACAAGAUUUUACACCUAGUGUUGGCCUGUUGGGCUCAUGCUGCUAUUCAAAACCUUUUGAGUUUAGCCAAGUAUGCUUUCCUGUAGGUUUUUACCGUGUGCAUAGACAGACUAUCAACAUGUGUUUAGCAGAACUUUGGUGAUUUCAAAUGCUUUGAUAUCUUUUGAAUAUGUAUGUGCUUUGUUUUGUUUCGGUUUCCUCAAUCUAUAGCAAUCUCCUCACUUGAUUAAUAAAAUUAAUCAUUGUUCUGAAAAAAAAAUAUAUAUAUGAGACCAAAGACUCGUCGACAAAAAAACUUUGCAGUUUCUUUACUCUAAAAUAUAAAAGAUUGAAAUUGUUAGUUAAAAAAAACGUAAUAUCUCUAAAAAAAUCUGCAUUGUGCUAGCAUAUAACUCCAGUUACACCUCGUAAUCAAGCAAGGUUACUGUACGGUACUGCGGUCUACAAGUUAGUUUUCCUUCUGCAGUUAUGCUCUACAGAGGUAAUGACAUCCAUCAACAUAGCUGGCAACAAAACCCUGGACGCAGGGAUAUACAACAGAACUUGUCCUAGUUAAACCUCCAACGAAUCCACUACUUUAAGUGCUUCACUCCUCAUCAUCUUCGUCGUCUUCAACUUCAUCGGGGAGCUCUAUGUCGUCGUUGUCAAGUGCAGGUGCUGCCUGAGAGCUCGAUACGUUUAUAUCAGCACCUGUCAAGAUGAGUAACCACAAGUCAUCACAAAGUAUAACCACAGCAGAACAACUGUUCUUCUUUUGGUAACAAAUAGUUUGAGUGAGCGUAAACGAAAAUAAUAUUGAUGAAGUGCAAACUGACUAGGUCAGACCCACAAGCAGCCAGUUCUUAGCUUAGAAUGCAUGAAACUCAGAGUUUAGAUGUUACCACAAAAGAGACUAGGCUACAGCCAUAAGCAUUUAUCAGGGAGAGAGAGAGAGAGAAACAUACCGCCAGGAUUAGACGAGUCCAGCAGAUAUGGGAGUUCUAAAAACUGGAGAAAUGAUUCAGUUUGUGGGUUUCUGCAAGGAACUGUGUAGCACAAGAACCAUGUAAAGCACACAUCAGAAGUUUGACAAAGAAAGAGUUCAAAUGCUUAGAAUCAGAUACUAGUUUGUGAUACUUUAAAUACAAAAAACAACUAGAAUGAAAGCAAUGAACUGUGACAUAAGAUGAAAUUGUGGAACUAAAGGAAAACUGUAUGGUAGCUCAAGAUCAAGAAACAUUUCGACAGUAGAAUCCAUAAUAUUUAUGGCUCACAGUGAAGACAUGACUAUUAAAGCUUACCUGCUAUGGGGGGAUUAUAAACUGGUCUGGACGGAUCAUAAGGUGGAGCAGUCUGGACAAAAUCAAAUGUCUUAGCCCCUCUAGCAUUCAACUUGCUCCUAACCCACUGCCGGUCAUCUUCAAUAUCAAGUUCUUCAUUCCUGUCAGAUAAGACAAUUGAAUUACUCCAGCUUUGUCAUUUAUUGUAUAUUUUCAGAAUAUUCAUUACACUGUAACAAACAAACAAGACAAUUUAUGCACCAACCGAAUUGUACACGGCAUCCGAGUUAAGGGGAAAGCACUAUUGAAUCUCCGUGUUAUUGCAAGCCAUUCUUCAUCAUACUGAAUUUCAUAUGGUCCCGGAUUGGAUGGAAUGUCUAUUACCUAAAAUUGAUUGACAUCUCAGAACAAAUAUGUGCAAGGAACUUAUUUGUAGUGGUUCAAAUGUCUGUGGUAGAGGAGAUAGUAGUACCUGCAAAAAAUUCCGCCCGGGAAGGCACUUAUCAAGAGCAAGAAACUUAGUCGUAGGUCCAUCCUCACCAUGUUGAAUGAUAGCUGGAAAUCUACAAUGAAGAUGAGCUGAAAACCAGUACGGUGGUUUUAAUUUGUUCAGUAAUUUUGCUGCAGAUUCACUGCCUAAUGUUCUCUCGUUGACCUGAAAUGACAAGAGAACAGAACAUUAACAAUAGUUUGAUAUGUGUGUAGGGAAGCAUGAAGCAUUCCAUUUUUGAGGAAGUAGUCUCAAUCAAACACUGUGCAUGUCAGACCACAGUAGUCAUCAGCUCACCAUACGAAACUUGAUGCCAUAGGGAUUAACAUUAUCAUUUUUAGCUAAAAUACUAAGGUUUAUCUAGUGUACCUUUACAAGAUUAAUUAGCAAAAAAAGGAGAGAGAAACAAUCCUUAGCUGAUCACAGAUGCUGACACAACACUGGAAACUGUUUCACUGCAGUAAUUAUCAUGAAAAAUGUGGCAUCGCUUAUUUAUUAUAUUAUUCUUUGGCUUUGACUCAAAAUGUGACAUUGUCACACAAUAAAGUCAACACAUUCCCUUGAGGCAUUUUCACAAGGUUGGUGGAUGAUGAGUAAUGAAAGGCAUAUGUUAUAGAGAGUUGCAAUGGUUCGAAUGCGUUGCGUACUAGGAUCUAGGUAGAUAGGAGGGAAGGCUCUCACUCCAGGGGCAAGAUAGAAGAACCACUCUUCUAAUUCUUGCUUGGCUCUAUUCCUCACAGAGGGUUCUCCUUAUAGAGGACUAACAAUCCAAUCUAAGAACAAAUCGUAGAUCUUAUGUCUAGUUGGCUUAACGCCCAAGCUAAAAUAGAUCUUAAUUUAAAGGAUAAACUACCAAAUUAAUAAAUCAUUGGAAUCUUCCCCCUAACUUGGCGCUGGGUGGGUCGUGUACUACGCGGACAUAACAAAUGUGUAACACAAAAUAAUCCCCUAUGUCAAUUGGCAACUUGGUAUUACCUCUUCUUUGAAGAACGGUUUCUCUCGAAGGAGCCUCUCCCGGUUUCCAUAUUCAGUAAUGCCAAGAGGCCAGUCAUGUGACAUGAAUAUAUCUAGAGGCUCCUUCACAUGCAUUAGCUUGAGAACAUCGUAAUGCCUUACAUGGUACACUGAUCGUAUAGUAGCAUUAUCGUAUGGAGGCCUCUCAUGGUGUCCUGCAUAGAUUGGCAAUAAUAAUUCUGAAUGCUUUGUUCAGGGUCUAAUGAAAUUUACAGUUCUAGUUUAGGAUCCUUCUUCAAUAGGCUUCUACUCCCUAGACAAUAACCUCUAGAUGCAACCAAAAAAAAACUUCAAACUACAAAGUAUCCCAAGCAAGAUAUUAAUAAACUUGCCUCGGUAAUAAUCAUGUUGCUUAUGUAUUCCUGACAUUCCACCAAUUCGAAUAUUUCCAAACUUAACAACACCAGCAAACCCCAAGAAGUAGAUGUUAGGUGCUGCCCAUCCUCCAUAGUACCUGAUAGUGGUUACACCACAAUUAGAAAACAGCAGGCAUUGCAUUUUUCAAUAAGCAAGACAACACCUCAUCAUUGAACAACAAUACUCAAAUAUGUUGAGUAAAUCAAUGUAUCCAAUGACUGAAAGCUGUUGAGCUACUUGUUAUUAAACUCCUAAGCAGAUAUUAGUUCAAAACAAGGGACAGCCUUAGAUUCAAAACAAUGCCUUUCUCCCUUUAAUUCUUUUUUUUACAUCCCGAUGUUUCUAUGAAUAGUUAUUGGACAACACACUUCCAUACAUAGAUCAUCCUUGUCCCAGUUAGAAUUUCUUUUAGAUUGAAAAUUUGAGUAAAUAUCAUGGAAAUUUUCAGAUUACUGUGCUUCAAUCCUUCCUAAAUUUUUACAUGCAAAUUCUAGUUAUUGUCCUACAAAGUGAAAAUAUAGAAUAAGGUCCCACAGCUAAACUAAACCACGGAUUGGUAUUUUGAAAGUUGUGUCGGGCAUAAGUGACAGAGACUCACAGUUCCCACAAAUAAUUGGCUGCUUCAUGAUUCCCGCCGAUGAAGAUAGUUGGGUAUGGGGCAACUGCUUGCCCAGAGUAGUACUUCCAAAACGAGUUCAUGGUACGAAACUUUGGUGGGACAUUUACACACUGUAAAUCACUCUCAUUCCUUACAGCCUGCAUGAAAAGGUGCAAUGUCAGAAUGUGAAAUAUGUCAACACGUACAUAGAAUUACUACCGAACAUUAAACUAUGACCAUGUGAAAAAUCAACUUGUCCAUGCUCCAUAGAACCGAGCCAGAUAUGACCUUCUUAAGGACAGUAAGAUAAAUAUAUUUCCGUAACAAAGGGCCCGGCAUGACCAGACCCAGUAAGACAAAUAUUGCAGCAUUUCAAUUCAAGGGAAGUGUGUGGUAGACUUAGAAAAUGCUGUGAUACCCUAGCCAGAUCAACUAUCUAUUCCAACGAGUAACAGAUAUGUUAGGUUAACUUCAAACAAACAACCAACCAGCAGCUAGGCCAUUGUGAACCAGACAGAUCCCAUGUCCCAGGCAGGUGCGUGCACGACAUGAUGCAAAACAGCAUACACCACCGUCGAGCCAAACUGUAAGCUCGCAAUGUAUUCAAGGGGAAAAAAACAAACUCCAGCUCCAAUAAAGGAGCGUGGGCAGAGGGGACUGCCUGCAGCCUGAGCGCACCUGGAAGUCGCCGCAGCAGAUGAGGAGGUCGAUCUUGAUACCCUCGGCCGCCUCGAGCCGCUGCAUCGUGUCGUAGACCUUGUCCAGCUCCCCGUGCAUGCAUCCCUCCACCGCAAUCUGCACAGGACACCCGGCGAGGCAUUACGUCGAGCACGUGGCCUGCACGCCGCAUAAACUCCCCGAACCAGAAACCUAUUGACCGGUACUCGGGGCACAUACGGCUGCAUCCAGAGAAACGUAGAGCAUGAGAGGUUCGUCUGAUCACUCACCUUCAUGGCGUGCAGUGCGGGGUGCGCCGGCUGGUCGGAGGGGGCAACGAACGCCGGGGGAAGCGGCAGUGGCAGAGGUUGGGUGAGGCCUUGGGGGUGUCGAGUUCUUUUUUUCGCGGUUGGGCAGGGGGUUAAGUAAAGUUUGGGGGAGAAUUUCUGGUGGCCCACGGGCCCAGUUAGAGCUGUGGGCCGAAUCCUCUGCUGUCCGCCGGAUUCAGCACUGGUGGCCAGCCCACAGCUGUAAACCAUGUCCCCCUCAAAAGGAAAAAACGUGAAUCAUGUCAAGGGAUCUUAGGCAAAAAGAAAAGGUCGAGGGAUAAGAUCGUAACGUACUGCUACUGAUCUCUUUUGUACUUUCAAAUGUGUUACUGGUCUCUUGGCAAUGCUUAUCCAUGGCGAGCUCAUGUCGAGGAGACGAGGAGCGUGAAGAAAACUACGCAAAUUCACCGUUACGAGGGACAAACUUUGCAAGUUCAUUGACCCACUUAGCAGUUCAGAAUGGUGUUUAGGCGAUUCUGGAUAGGAUUUGAAAAUUAUCCUUUUCAAGGACGCUCCAAGUUCAGAAGCUAGCAGCGUGAGGACACGACGACAUCGAGCCCAUGUAUACCAAAUCUUAUGAUCGGGAUAAUUCAGAAGUCAGUACUACCCAGGAUUUCACACAGCAAGAAAGAAAGAAGGGAAAUUCAUAUGCACAGUCACAUUUUAUCUACACAUAUGCUGCCAUUGUCAACGAUCGGCACGGCACAUGAUUGAACGGCCAAAGAGGCAGAAGCUACAGGAGCACGCGGAAAUUCAUUAAGAUAGGCUUCAGGACGACCAGCAGCUGAGCCGCACGGCCUCGUCGAACUUGCUCGCCAGCGUGGCGGGCUCAUCCUCCUCCUCCUCCUCGCCGCCGGCCCGACGCGGCCUCUCCUUCCCUUCGUGCCCCGCCGCAUCCCGCCGCUUCGGCGCCAGGACGCCGAGGGAGAAGAAGACAUUGCCAAGGCCGAACCUGAAGCCGCCGGUGCCGGCGCCGGCGCCGUCCUUGCCGUGUGGCGCGUCGGCGGGGCCGUGGUGGAGCUGGUGGUAGCUCAGGAACAGCAUCGACGCGCUCGGGGCCAUCGCCUAGCAAGCUAUGAUCCGCUUCGACCGACACUUUUCAGAAGGACCACGACGAUCUUGGAUUGGAUCAGGUUGGAUUGGGAUGGAUUGGAUUGGGAUGCAGUUCUGCUUGCUUCUUGGCUUCCUCGGGGUAUUUAUAUAUGGGGGGAAUGCGGGCUUUGAUCGUUCGUCCGUUCGAGAGGGAUGGGCGUGACGUGGCUGUUGGAUCGGAUAGGGCGGGCCCGCCACGUCGGCAUGGGGGCGCGUGCCGCCCGGGGUUUCCCGGGGGAAACCAGUGGGCUGUGUUGGAAGGUCCGACCGGGUGGCGCGUGGUAUCAGCGGGGUCCGGUGGGCUCGCGGCGCGAACCCGUGGGAGGAGCGGGCGCGGCACGGCCGCACCCCGUUUUGUGACGAGCUCGGGCUCAACGGCCAGCGAACGGGCGAGGGUGCCGCUCCUACGGCGGCACGCACCCCCGUGGCGGGGGGAAUCUCACCACACCAUCGUCCGGUGGGUGAUGAAAGUUUUUUUUUCCAAGCUGGUGAGGGCAAAGCUUCACCACACGAUCGUCCGGUUGGUGAUGAUUUUUUUUUUCUAGCUGGUGAGGACAAGGUUUCACCACACCAUCGUCCGGUUGGUGAUGAUUUCUUUUUUCUAGCUGGCGAGGACAAAGUGUUUUUUUUUGUUCAACUGAGGUGAGGGCAGUGCUGGCACGGGGCCCGGUGGGAGGUCAGCAUCGCCGCCCGCCCCCCUGCCGUGGGCGUACCGGCGACCACCAGUCGGUCCACGAGGAUGUGCCGCUCAUUCGUGGCCUAGCCUGACGGCUCAGGUGGUUCGGCGCGAGCCUGACGCAACUCUUGAUUUCUAUGCUGCAAGUCAAUGGCUGGCUGCGUCGUUGACAUCAGCUCGCAAUAGGGGAGCAAUUUCACUAUUUUACUAGCACCUUCAAACAGAUAUGCAACUAAAAGUGCUAACUAAAAUUCAAUCAGGCGACAAGACUGGCAUCUUACAGUCAGUUUUUUCAUAGGCAAAAUUCAUGUACAUCGCUAGAAAAAAGAAGCUAAACAAGCAUAUAACCUUUUUUUUACCUACCACUGUCUACAGGUAUAGAAUAUUAUCGCAUGCAUUGUCCACGACAUUCACUGCAACAUGCACUUCUACUAUAGAAUCUAUCUUGUUGCAUCCUAUGCACACCAGUCCAAGAGAUUAUCAUAAUGUACAUACACAUAAUAAUAUCAAACAUAAACAGCAGAUGUCAUAACUCGAAGCACUCCCGAGAUCCCCAGCUCUUCUUGGUCCACAAACAAACGCUUUCAAGUAACACCAGUAGAAGAGUGAUGCAAAAUCCAGUGUGCCAAUGGCAGCUCAUAACAAGGCGCCUUGCAGCAUCCCCACGCCAGCUUCAAAACUGCCUUGUGGCUCCUUUGGGUAGCAGAUGAAGCUGGAAACCUCCAAGGUUUCCCACAAAGAACACAUAGCUACCCGGAGUCUGGUGGCGCACCAGUGCCACACAUUUCCGAUCCCCGCAAAUGAGGGGAGGAAUCGGAAAAGAUAAAUGAAGUAUCCAGGUCCCCGGCCACAAAUGAACAUGUAUGUAUGGUUACAGUUACAGAUCUAAGUUAUACAGUACAAAUCAUACAUCAGUUCAACUUUCAGUUGUAACAGAGAAAAGCAUUGCGCGAGCUCAGCUGUGCCGCGACUUCUUCAGAUGACGAUAUGUUUCCAGCUUCCAUGAGCUGUGCCGCCACUUCUUC
rnacentral:lncRNA from 1 species